GACGAACGCUGGCGGCGUGCUUAACACAUGCAAGCCGAACGGUAAGGCCCUUCGGGGUACACGAGUGGCGAACGGGUGAGUAACACGUGGGUGAUCUGCCCUGCACUUCGGGAUAAGCCUGGGAAACUGGGUCUAAUACCGGAUAGGACCACUGCCUGCAUGGGUGGUGGUGGAAAGCUUUUGCGGUGUGGGAUGGGCCCGCGGCCUAUCAGCUUGUUGGUGGGGUGAUGGCCUACCAAGGCGACGACGGGUAGCCGGCCUGAGAGGGUGACCGGCCACACUGGGACUGAGAUACGGCCCAGACUCCUACGGGAGGCAGCGGUGGGGAAUAUUGCACAAUGGGCGCAAGCCUGAUGCAGCGACGCCGCGUGAGGGAUGACGGCCUUCGGGUUGUAAACCUCUUUCAGCACCGACGAAGCGCAAGUGACGGUAGGUGCAGAAGAAGGACCGGCCAACUACGUGCCAGCCGCCGCCGUAC
rnacentral:rRNA from 1 species